CCCGGUACACUGUUUAUAGCGCAUGCUAUUUUCAGUAAAGUUCCGGCGGUCGCGGACGGGGAUGCGCUCCAUUAGAUAGUCGGCGGGGUAACGGCCCACCGAGUCUAUGAUGGAUAGGGGUUCUGAGAGGAAGGUCCCCCACAUUGGAACUGCGACACGGUCCAAACUCCUACGGGAGGCAGCAGUGAGGAAUAUUGGUCAAUGGGCGAAGGCCUGAACCAGCCAAGUAGCGUGAAGGAUGACAGCCCUAUGGGUUGUAAACUUCUUUUGGUCGGGAAUAACAGACACCACUUGUGGUGUUUUGCAUGUACCGGCCGAAUAAGGAUCGGCUAACUCCGUGCCAGCAGCCGCGGUAAUACGGAGGAUCCGAGCGUUAUCCGGAUUUAUUGGGUUUAAAGGGAGCGUAGGCGGGAAGUCAAGUCAGCUGUGAAAUGCGUACGCUCAACGUACGCCUUGCAGUUGAAACUGGUUUUCUUGAGUGCGUAAGAGGCAGGCGGAAUUCGUGGUGUAGCGGUGAAAUGCUUAGAUAUCACGAGGAACUCCAAUUGCGAAGGCAGCUUGCUAGGCCGCUACUGACGCUGAUGCUCGAAGGUGCGGGUAUCAAACAGGAUUAGAUACCCUGGUAGUCCGCACAGUAAACGAUGGACACUCGCUAUCGGCGAUACACUGCCGGUGGCCAAGCGAAAGCGUUAAGUGUCCCACCUGGG
rnacentral:rRNA from 1 species